rnacentral:rRNA from 1 species
AGAGUUUGAUCCUGGCUCAGAUUGAACGCUGGCGGCAUGCUUUACACAUGCAAGAUCGAACGGCAGCGCGGGGCAACCUGGCGGCGAGUGGCGAACGGGUGAGUAAUAUAUCGGAACGUACCCAGAAGUGGGGGAUAACGUAGCGAAAGUUACGCUAAUACCGCAUACGAUCUACGGAUGAAAGUGGGGGACCUUCGGGCCUCAUGCUUGUGGAGCGGCCGAUAUCUGAUUAGCUAGUUGGUGAGGUAAAGGCUCACCAAGGCGACGAUCAGUAGCUGGUCUGAGAGGACGACCAGCCACACUGGGACUGAGACACGGCCCAGACUCCUACGGGAGGCAGCAGUGGGGAAUUUUGGACAAUGGGCGCAAGCCUGAUCCAGCAAUGCCGCGUGAGUGAAGAAGGCCUUCGGGUUGUAAAGCUCUUUGUCAGGGAAGAAACGGCUGAGGAUAAUACCUUGGCUAAUGACGGUACCUGAAGAAUAAGCACCGGCUAACUACGUGCCAGCAGCCGCGGUA